rnacentral:lncRNA from 1 species
CUUCGCCAGCUGCGGCUGAGGGCCGAGGGGCUGUCUCCUGGGGUCGCCCCGCAGCGUGUACGGCGGAGCUGCGAAGAGCUUCUCUCUCUGGCAGUCAGUGCUGGGCUUGAACCCAGGGCCUUGAGCUCGCUCCAAACGGCCUCGGAAACCAGAAUCGUUCGCACUGGAGCCUUCUGGGCUUUCUUGCUUCACCCCCUGAAUAUUAAGCGUUUUAUGGCCGUUAGCAGGAGCAGAGGCAGCGCUGCAGCCUGGGAGAUGAGAUAAGCCCCGGCCCAGGCUGUGAUCCCCACGCACCUCGGGGACCCUGCAGCCAUUGGCAGCACCUUGCUCUCGGCCCUGGUUCCCAGACUUGCACCUUGGCAGCUCCAAGGGCUCCACCUGAGUGGCGAGGCCUGGGAUCCCGGAUCCCCAACAGGUUCCCGGAUGAUCCUGCAGCUCCCACCUGGGGGCCUCUGGCCCGGCUGUUUUGAGAACCACUGCACUAAACUGAGAACGAGGUCUUCAGAAUUCCCACUCGGAAUCAGCGUGGUGGCCUACACCUGUCAUCCCAGCACUCAGGAGGCUGAGCCAGGAGAAUCACUGGGAGUUUGAGGCCAGCCUGGGCUACCCAGCAAGACCCUCUCUCAAAAGAAAACAAACACCCCCAAAAGCAAAGUUCCCACUCCCCAAGGCACCAUGUCCAGGUCUCUCCAACCUCAUUCCUUCCAGCCCCUCCAACCAUUGCUGAGGUUUUCUUGACCCUCCCUCCCCAGUCCCUGCUCUGGGCAGGAGCUGCCUGUUUCCAGCUCUCCCUAGCUUUCUAUUUGUCCAGAGCCCAGAUUCAUUUCUUCAGUUUUCUCCUUGCUCUGGGCAGAUCUACGGGCUGCUUGCAGGAGCUGAGCACCCCAGCACGGGGCAGAGGCCUGGGCUCGGGCAUCACAGGCCCAGCCGCCCUUACUGUGCCACACGCACGCACAGCCUUCGCCGCUCCAUCCUGGGCGCCAGCUCCUUGCUGGCUUCCCAUCCCCAUGCCUUUCCCUCUCUGGGUUUCCCGGCUGAUGCUUGGUUGGCGCUGUCUGUGUUUCAGGAGAUAACCUGCAGCCCUGUUCUUUUUGAGGUCCAUUUUGGGAAACAGGCAAGGGGCCGUGGGACAAGCAGGAGUCUGGGCUGGAGCAACGUCUUCCAGUCGGGGUGGGAGGGGCAGCCGAGCCGCUGGCUGGCAGGAAGACCCCAAGGGACAAUCACACCGGCCUUGUGCAGGUGACUAAGGCCAGGGCUGACACAGUACACUAGAUCUCUACCACUGAGUUACAUCCGCCCUGUCCACUUUUCAUCUUGAGACAAGGU